rnacentral:rRNA from 1 species
GCCUAAUACAUGCAAGUCGAGCGAACGGACGAGAGUGCUUGCACUCUCUGAUGUUAGCGGCGGACGGGUGAGUAACACGUGGGUAACCUACCUAUAAGACUGGGAUAACUUCGGGAAACCGGAGCUAAUACCGGAUAAUAUUUAGCUUCGCAUGAAGCAAUAGUGAAAGACGGUUCUGCUGUCACUUAUAGAUGGACCCGCGGUGUAUUAGCUAGUUGGUGAGGUAACGGCUCACCAAGGCAACGAUACAUAGCCGACCUGAGAGGGUGAUCGGCCACACUGGGACUGAGACACGGCCCAGACUCCUACGGGAGGCAGCAGUAGGGAAUCUUCCGCAAUGGACGAAAGUCUGACGGAGCAACGCCGCGUGAGUGAAGAAGGUUUUCGGAUCGUAAAACUCUGUUGUAAGGGAAGAACAAGUACGUUAGUAACUGAACGUACCUUGACGGUACCUUACCAGAAAGCCACGGCUAACUACGUGCCAGCAGCCGCGGUAAUACGUAGGUGGCAAGCGUUAUCCGGAAUUAUUGGGCGUAAAGCGCGCGUAGGCGGUCUCUUAAGUCUGAUGUGAAAGCCCCCGGCUCAACCGGGGAGGGUCAUUGGAAACUGGGAGACUUGAGUGCAGAAGAGGAGAGUGGAAUUCCAUGUGUAGCGGUGAAAUGCGCAGAGAUAUGGAGGAACACCAGUGGCGAAGGCGGCUUUCUGGUCUGUAACUGACGCUGAGGUGCGAAAGCGUGGGGAUCAAACAGGAUUAGAUACCCUGGUAGUCCACGCCGUAAACGAUGAGUGCUAAGUGUUGGGGGGUUUCCGCCCCUCAGUGCUGCAGCUAACGCAUUAAGCACUCCGCCUGGGGAGUACGGUCGCAAGACUGAAACUCAAAGGAAUUGACGG